rnacentral:rRNA from 1 species
AUGUGUAUAUGUGCAAGUGCAGCCCUGAACCUAAGGCUAGUCAACAAAAACGCCGCAGGUGGCCCUGACCUCGCCGAGGCUGUCGAGGAGCACGUCGGUGCGGCCCAUCUUGACCAUGGCCGCCGCGAAGUCCCGGUAGUACUCGUCCGGCGACGACGCGUUGGCCAUCCUCUCGACGUAGCCCCUGGUGGCGGCGUCGUGGAGGAGGCUGCCGUCGGACUGGAAGAGGCCCCCCGUGGCCAGCACGUGGCGGUAGUAGCUGAGGUCGAAGGUGAAGCCGCUGCCGGGGUCCAUGGGCACCUUGGUCCUCCUGCCCCGGCCGCCGUGGCGGCGCGGGCAGAGCUUCCUCAGCUGCCUCGCGUACCCGGCGUCCAGCGACGGGUCCUGGUCCAUGGCGCCCGUGAAGUUGUAGAGCCGCUUCCGGAACGCCUCGCAGUGGGAGGUCCCGAUGCUGUGGCUCCCUGGAGGGGGAGGAAGGAUGCCAUUGUCAGUGCGGCGUGUGUUGGGCUGUUGCUGUCGUCCACGGACGCACGUACGCGUGAAGCGAUGGAGUCAUGGAGAGGAAAGGAGAGGUGCGUACCGAAGAGGACGACGAUGUCCUUGGCGGUGAGCGACUUGACGCUGAAGAAGGUCUUGACGUCGACGAUGUUGGAGUCCGGCGGCGCCAGGUCGUUCUCAGCGUACUCGGCCACCGUCACGUUGCCGUCCCGCCGCCCGGUCUCCACGCCGUACCACGGCCCCUUGCUCUGCAAAGUAAGCACGAGAGCCGGUGAAAAAGAUGCCCAAUUAAAUCAACUUGUCGUCGUGGUCUCUGCAGCUACUCACCAGGUAGACGGCGUCCCUGGCGGCUAUGGCGAUGAUGUCGGCGCAGGAGACGGUGAGCGGGCAGAGCGUCUCGAGCCUGGCCUUGAUCCGCUCGAUGGCGUCGUAGCCGCGCAUGCUCCGGUUAGGGGUGGCGUCCCGCUCCGCCGUGCCCCGGCGGGACCUGAGCAGGAUGGAGCCGUCGCAGCCCUGGACGAAGCAGUCGUGGUAGUGCAUCCGGAGCAGCGAGGGCGCCAGCGUGGGGUCCUCGUGCAGGAUGGCGUGCAUCUCCGCGAACACCACCCCCUCCGCGAUCGGGCACGUCGCAUUGUAGAACCCCACCUGCAGCUCCGCCUCCGCCCGCGGCGACGCAGCCGCCAGGACGCCCACCACCGCCGCCGCCACCGCCAGGGCCAGGGCGAGCGGCGGCCACCGCUCCCUGGACAUGAAGAAAGCGCGAGGCGGUCGACGAGCAGACCGGAGAACGAUCGAGGGUGGAAAUGGGGGCGGGCUUGGGCGGAGCGGCGGCACAGUGGAAUGGAUGGGCGAUGGUGGGAGCACGGGGCAAAGGUCAAAGAGUGUGGUUGCGCCGUGCUUUUCCGACUGUAG